rnacentral:rRNA from 1 species
UACGUAGGGUGCGAGCGUUGUCCGGAAUUACUGGGCGUAAAGAGCUCGUAGGUGGUUUGUCGCGUUGUUCGUGAAAACUCACAGCUCAACUGUGGGCGUGCGGCGAUACGGGCAGACUAGAGUACUGCAGGGGAGACUGGAAUUCCUGGUGUAGCGGUGGAAUGCGCAGAUAUCAGGAGGAACACCGGUGGCGAAGGCGGGUCUCUGGGCAGUAACUGACGCUGAGGAGCGAAAGCGUGGGGAGCGAACAGG